UACAGAGGUCUCAAGCGUUGUUCGGAUUCAUUGGGCGUAAAGGGUGCGUAGGCGGCGCGGUAAGUCGGGUGUGAAAUCUCGGAGCUUAACUCCGAAACUGCAUUCGAUACUGCCGUGCUUGAGGACUGGAGAGGAGAAUGGAAUUUACGGUGUAGCGGUGAAAUGCGUAGAUAUCGUAAGGAAGACCAGUGGCGAAGGCGGGUCUCUGGACAGUUCCUGACGCUGAGGCACGAAGGCCAGGGGAGCAAACGGG
rnacentral:rRNA from 1 species